UUUCUACCCCUUUUCGGCCUACGUGGCACUAACUUGAAAAAAAAGUCAACCAACGUUGGGCCUACAAGAUAGUGUCACGUAGACCGAAAAGGGGUAGAAAAU
rnacentral:pre_miRNA from 1 species